rnacentral:rRNA from 1 species
CCUACGGGAGGCAGCAGUAGGGAAUCUUCCACAAUGGGCGCAAGCCUGAUGGAGCAACACCGCGUGAGUGAAGAAGGGUUUCGGCUCGUAAAGCUCUGUUGUUGGAGAAGAACGUGCGUGAGAGUAACUGUUCAAGCCGUGACGGUAUCCAACCAGAAAGUCACGGCUAACUACGUGCCAGCAGCCGCGGUAAUACGUAGGUGGCAAGCGUUAUCCGGAUUUAUUGGGCGUAAAGCGAGCGUAGGCGGUUGCUUAGGUCUGAUGUGAAAGCCUUAGGCUUAACCGAAGAAGUGCAUCGGAAACCGGGCAACUUGAGUGCAGAAGAGGACAGUGGAACUCCAGGUGUAGCGGUGGAAUGCGUAGAUAUAUGGAAGAACACCAGUGGCGAAGGCGGCUGUCUGGUCUGCAACUGACGCUGAGGCUCGAAAGCAUGGGGAGCGAACAGGAUUAGAUACCCGGGUAGUC